CUGGAUAAUUGCUGAUAGAUUUCUAUUAGAGGAAAGUCCAUGCUCGCACUAUCUGUGAUGAUAGUAGUGUUUAUGCUAAAGGAAAAAAUAACUUUAGGUAGAUGGGAGCAUCUAAUGGCAGGAAGAAACCUAAGUCGAAAGAUAUGGUCUAUUCCUUGAAAGUGCCACAGUGACGUAGUUUGCCUGAAAGGGUAAAGUGGAACGCGGUAAACCCCAUAAGCGAGAAACCCAAAUUUGGUAGGGGAAGUUGGAGUGGAGAAACGAAUCUAACUCUAGCAUACUUCGGUAUAGAUAAAUAAUUAUCUUAAAUGACAAAACAUGGCUUACAG
rnacentral:RNase_P_RNA from 1 species